AAAUAAACCUAUUAAAGGACUCAAUUUUAACUUUGAUCCAAAGUUACAGUUAGACUGGUCUCUCCCUGAGCUUCUCUUCAUCACCGAGUCUUCAUCUAUCAUUCUCAGUUUCAGGGUCAUUUGCCAUCCGACAAUUUUUUUUCGAAUUUGUGGUGAGUCUUGGAUUUGACUUUCUGAAUUUCUCCAUAUACGACGGAGUUGUUGGCUCGCUGAACCAAGGCAGAGAAGGAAGUAAUUCAAGAAAGAUGCAGAAGCUGGGCGAAUUCAAGCUGCCUAACUUCUUCAACUAUCCACCUUACUUCACGUAAUUUACUCUUUCCCUU